rnacentral:rRNA from 1 species
ACGAACGCUGGCGGCGUGCUUAACACAUGCAAGUCGAACGAUGAACUGGAGCUUGCUCCAGGGAUUAGUGGCGAACGGGUGAGUAACACGUGAGUAACCUGCCCUUGACUCUGGGAUAAGCGUUGGAAACGACGUCUAAUACCGGAUAUGAACUGUGACGGCAUCGUCUGCAGUUGGAAAGAAUUUUGGUCAAGGAUGGACUCGCGGCCUAUCAGGUAGUUGGUGAGGUAAUGGCUCACCAAGCCGACGACGGGUAGCCGGCCUGAGAGGGUGACCGGCCACACUGGGACUGAGACACGGCCCAGACUCCUACGGGAGGCAGCAGUGGGGAAUAUUGCACAAUGGGCGAAAGCCUGAUGCAGCAACGCCGCGUGAGGGACGACGGCCUUCGGGUUGUAAACCUCUUUUAGUAGGGAAGAAGCGAAAGUGACGGUACCUGCAGAAAAAGCACCGGCUAACUACGUGCCAGCAGCCGCGGUAAUACGUAGGGUGCAAGCGUUGUCCGGAAUUAUUGGGCGUAAAGAGCUCGUAGGCGGUUUGUCGCGUCUGCUGUGAAAUCUGGGGGCUCAACCCCCAGCCUGCAGUGGGUACGGGCAGACUAGAGUGCGGUAGGGGAGAUUGGAAUUCCUGGUGUAGCGGUGGAAUGCGCAGAUAUCAGGAGGAACACCGAUGGCGAAGGCAGAUCUCUGGGCCGUAACUGACGCUGAGGAGCGAAAGCAUGGGGAGCGAACAGGAUUAGAUACCCUGGUAGUCCAUGCCGUAAACGUUGGGAACUAGAUGUAGGGGCCAUUCCACGGUUUCUGUGUCGCAGCUAACGCAUUAAGUUCCCCGCCUGGGGAGUACGGCCGCAAGGCUAAAACUCAAAGGAAUUGACGGGGGCCCGCACAAGCGGCGGAGCAUGCGGAUUAAUUCGAUGCAACGCGAAGAACCUUACCAAGGCUUGACAUAUACCGGAAACGUCCAGAGAUGGUCGCCCCGCAAGGUCGGUAUACAGGUGGUGCAUGGUUGUCGUCAGCUCGUGUCGUGAGAUGUUGGGUUAAGUCCCGCAACGAGCGCAACCCUCGUUCUAUGUUGCCAGCACGUUAUGGUGGGAACUCAUAGGAGACUGCCGGGGUCAACUCGGAGGAAGGUGGGGGAUGACGUCAAAUCAUCAUGCCCCUUAUGUCUUGGGCUUCACGCAUGCUACAAUGGCCGAUACAAAGGGCUGCGAUACCGUAAGGUGGAGCGAAUCCCAAAAAGUCGGUCUCAGUUCGGAAUUGAGGUCUGCAACUCGACCUCAUGAAGUCGGAGUCGCUAGUAAUCGCAGAUCAGCAACGCUGCGGUGAAUACGUUCCCGGGCCUUGUACACACCGCCCGUCAAGUCAUGAAAGUCGGUAACACCCGAA